AUUGAACGCUGGCGGCAUGCCUUACACAUGCAAGUCGAACGGCAGCACGGGUGCUUGCCCCUGGUGGCGAGUGGCGAACGGGUGAGUAAUACAUCGGAACAUGUCCUGUAGUGGGGGAUAGCCCGGCGAAAGCCGGAUUAAUACCGCAUACGAUCUACGGAUGAAAGCGGGGGACCUUCGGGCCUCGCGCUAUAGGGUUGGCCGAUGGCUGAUUAGCUAGUUGGUGGGGUAGAGGCCUACCAAGGCGACGAUCAGUAGCUGGUCUGAGAGGACGACCAGCCACACUGGGACUGAGACACGGCCCAGACUCCUACGGGAGGCAGCAGUGGGGAAUUUUGGACAAUGGGCGAAAGCCUGAUCCAGCAAUGCCGCGUGUGUGAAGAAGGCCUUCGGGUUGUAAAGCACUUUUGUCCGGAAAGAAAUCCUUGGCCCUAAUACGGUCGGGGGAUGACGGUACCGGAAGAAUAAGCACCGGCUAACUACGUG
rnacentral:rRNA from 1 species